GACGAACGCUGGCGGCGUGCUUAACACAUGCAAGUCGAACGAAAAGACCCGGCGUUUGUUCCGUUCUCGUUUGGCGAACGCGUGAGUGACACGUGAGUAACAUGCCCUUGACUUUGUGAUAACUUCAGGAGACUCGGGCUAUUACCGGAUAGGAGCUCCUGCUGCAUGGUGGGGGUUGGAAAGUUUCGGCGGUUGGGGAUGGUUUCGCGGCUUAUCAGCUGGAUUGUGGGGUAGGGGCUUACCAAGGCUGUGAAGGGUAGCCGGCCUUGGAGGGUGACCGGCGACAUUAGGACUGAGGUACGGCGCAGACGCGUACGGGACGCAGCAGGCGGGAAUAUUGCGGAGUGGGCGGACGCGUGAUGCAGAGACGUCGCGUGCGUGAUGCCGGCCUUUGGGUUAUAAACCGCUUUGGACGGUGACGAAGAGUGAGUGACGGUACUUGGUAAGGAAGCACCGGCUAACUACGUG
rnacentral:rRNA from 1 species